rnacentral:rRNA from 1 species
GAGUUUGAUCGUGGCUCAGAGCGAACGCUGGCGGCAGGCUUAACACAUGCAAGUCGAGCGGGCGUAGCAAUACGUCAGCGGCAGACGGGUGAGUAACACGUGGGAACGUACCUUUUGGUUCGGAACAACUGAGGGAAACUUCAGCUAAUACCGGAUAAGCCCUAACGGGGAAAGAUUUAUCGCCGAAAGAUCGGCCCGCGUCUGAUUAGCUAGUUGGUGAGGUAAUGGCUCACCAAGGCGACGAUCAGUAGCUGGUCUGAGAGGAUGAUCAGCCACACUGGGACUGAGACACGGCCCAGACUCCUACGGGAGGCAGCAGUGGGGAAUAUUGGACAAUGGGGGCAACCCUGAUCCAGCCAUGCCGCGUGAGUGAUGAAGGCCCUAGGGUUGUAAAGCUCUUUUGUGCGGGAAGAUAAUGACGGUACCGCAAGAAUAAGCCCCGACUAACUCCGUGCCAGCCGCCGCCGUAAC